rfam:Myotis lucifugus cont2.66895, whole genome shotgun sequence.
GAGUCACCCUUAUGGAGUAGGACUUGCUUCAUUGGGGCUUUGGUGCUCACUGAGUCUGCCCCUUGAGUGUGUCGCU